rnacentral:misc_RNA from 1 species
UGAGGAGAAAGUCAUUGCAAAAGUGGCUGUUGCACUUGAUACCUGAGGAGGGAUUCCCAACUCCAAAAAUAGUGGACCCAUAAUGAAUCCUCCACCUAGUCCAAGCAGCCCACCAACUCCCCCAGCCAGUACACCACAGGCACUGUAAAGUACAAGCUGAUGAACUUUGAAAUUUGUGCCUUCAUCUCCCUUGGAUGCUAUGAUUCUCCGUCCUUUGUAAAGGCUUACUGCCUCGUAUAGUGUCACCGCAACAGAAACUGGAAUCUGUAACAAGUUCACUAUCCAGUAUUCUGUUGAACAAGUAGUCAUAUGAUUCUUUGAAAUCUGCAAUGCAAGGAAUGCAACCCAGACAAAAACAAGAAGCCCAAGUUCCUUCCAGCACACAUUCUCAAGAAUAGUAACCUCUGCUUUGUUAGUGUCCUUUUCAGGGCCACUAGGAAGAGGCUUGUAUUCCACUUCCCCAUCUCCUAUACCAUUUGAUUCUAAACGCUUAGCAGCCUCCUGUUUCAUUAUUGUUUCCUUUUUCCACGUCUCAACACCCUUGAAGAAUGCCUUUGUUGAUGUGCCUAUAAAGAGAGUAAUAAGCAGUACUGUGACCAUCCAAUCUGAAAAUACCACGUUGAAAGCAACACCUAUACUAAUUCCUAGCAUGAGCAUUGGCUGGAUGAGUAGAGUCAAAUCAUAGUCAAUGAUGGGCAUAUCAAUUGUAGGAUGCCUUAGCUUAAGGUUAUAGUAAACAGUUGAUGCUGCUGCACCCAUAAUCAUACAUUUAGAGAUUGCAGUUGCGGAUUUGGGAUCAAACCCAAUAAUUAGGCUUAGCAUGGGAACAAAAAUGCCACCCCCACCAACGCCCCCUACACUCCCAAAUGCUGCCCCAAAGAAUCCAACAAUAGUACCCAAAACAAUUUGCCAACCAAAUUUCAUUUCCGGCCAAACAUGUUGAUACCCUGAUGCAUCAGGUUGCCAUAAGAAAUCUGCGGCUUUGAGAAAAUAACUUGACAGAUCCUCCUCUGUUUCAGGGACUGAUGUAAAUUCACGCUUCCAGCCUCUCUCGGCUGAAACAAGCACGAAAGCUAACAGAAAGUUUAAGGAUAGCGUUAAUGUCGAUCUCAAACCCCGCCAUUUCCCCCCAAACUCAGCCAUCAGAUCCUGAAUUUAGCACCCACCACCACGCACUCCUUUUUCACUUUUUCCUCGACUCUUUCUCAAACACCAAGAAGUCUCGUCUGUUUGCUCACUUGGAUUAGCUCAAAAGUGGUGAAGAAAAUCUCCAAAUUUCAAACUCUCAACAACCCAAAACUGGACAAGCUAUUAUCUAUAACACUAGAUCACAAGUUUUUCUCUUUCUUGAUCUUUUCAGUUAUAAAAGAAAAUAUUCAAGUGGUUGCUUAGCAAGAAAAACAUAAAAACAAAAAGGAAAAAAGAAGAAGAAAACGAUGAAGAUCGACGACAAAGAAAUUUGGAUGCAAGUGUGAUUGGCUCCUGCGAGAUAUGCGGAUCCUUGGACAAAAACAGGUACGACGCAGAAAAUUUUCCGGAGAAACAAGAUCAGAAAUAAAUUUUAUUUAGAAAAAAAAAAAAA